GGGGCUGACCGGUUUCGACGCGGGUCGCGGAAUCCGAGGUGCAUGCCGAGGCGUCACGUCCUCGUAAAACCCGUGGCAACCAAGCUAGUUGCGAACGACGCCAACUACGCCCUCGCCGCCUAAUUCCGGCGAGCGUUUCACUCUCUGGGUCCGAUGCCGGAGAACUGAAACGUCGACUCUCAUCGGAUCGCGGGCAGGCCCGCCCUUGGCCUGAUCCGUCAGACCCCUAAGGGGAUAAGCGGUGGCGCUCCGUGCCGAUCCGGGAACCACCGCCGACAACCCAAGACCGGCUAAGCAUGUAGAGCCAAGGCCUACGGACCAGCGGACGCGGGUUCAAUUCCCGCCAGCUCCACCA
rnacentral:tmRNA from 1 species